AUUGAACGCUGGCGGCAUGCCUUACACAUGCAAGUCGAACGGCAGCACGGGUGCUUGCACCUGGUGGCGAGUGGCGAACGGGUGAGUAAUACAUCGGAACAUGUCCUGUAGUGGGGGAUAGCCCGCCGAAAGCCGGAUUAAUACCGCAUACGAUCUACGGAUGACAGCGGGGGACCUUCGAGCCUCGCGCUAUAGGGUUGGCCGAUGGCUGAUUAGCUAGUUGGUGGGGUAAAGGCCUACCAAGGCGACGAUCAGUAGCUGGUCUGAGAGGACGACCGGCGACACUGGGACUGGGACACGGCCCAGACGCCUACGAGAGGCAGCAGUGGGGAAUUUUGGACAAUGGGGGGAAGCAUGAUACAGCAAUGCAGCGUGUGUGAAGAAGGCCUUCGGGUUGUAAAGCACUUUUGUCCGGAAAGAAAUCCUUGGCCCUAAUACGGUCGGGGGAUGACAGUACCGGAAGAAUAAGCACCGGCUAACUACGUG
rnacentral:rRNA from 1 species